rnacentral:rRNA from 1 species
AAUAGAUACCCGGGUAGUCCAUGCCGUAAACGUUGGGCACUAGGUGUGGGACUCACUCAACGGGUUCCGUGCCGUAGCUAACGCAUUAAGUGCCCCGCCUGGGGAGUACGGCCGCAAGGCUAAAACUCAAAGGAAUUGACGGGGGCCCGCACAAGCAGCGGAGCAUGUUGCUUAAUUCGAGGCAACGCGAAGAACCUUACCUGGGUUUGACAUGUACGGAAAAGCCGCAGAGAUGCGGUGUCCUUUUGGGCCGUACACAGGUGGUGCAUGGUUGUCGUCAGCUCGUGUCGUGAGAUGUUGGGUUAAGUCCCGCAACGAGCGCAACCCUUGCCAUUAGUUGCCACAUUCAGUUGGGCACUCUAAUGGGACUGCCGGUGACAAACCGGAGGAAGGUGGGGAUGACGUCAAGUCCUCAUGGCCCUUAUGGGUAGGGCCUCACACGUCAUACAAUGGCGCGUACAGAGGGUUGCCAACCCGCGAGGGGGAGCCAAUCCCAGAAAGCGCGUCGUAGUCCGGAUUGGAGUCUGCAACUCGACUCCAUG